rnacentral:rRNA from 1 species
AGAGUUUGAUCCUGGCUCAGAACGAACGCUGGCGGCAUGCCUAACACAUGCAAGUCGAACGAGACCUUCGGGCUUAGUGGCGCACGGGUGCGUAACGCGUGGGAAUCUGCCCUUGGGUUCGGAAUAACAGUUAGAAAUGACUGCUAAUACCGAAUGAUGUCUUCGGACCAAAGAUUUAUCGCCCAAGGAUGAGCCCGCGUCGGAUUAGCUAGUUGGUGAGGUAAAGGCUCACCAAGGCGACGAUCCGUAGCUGGUCUGAGAGGAUGAUCAGCCACACUGGGACUGAGACACGGCCCAGACUCCUACGGGAGGCAGCAGUGGGGAAUAUUGGACAAUGGGCGAAAGCCUGAUCCAGCAAUGCCGCGUGAGUGAUGAAGGCCUUAGGGUUGUAAAGCUCUUUACCCGGGAUGAUAAUGACAGUACCGGGAGAAUAAGCCCCGGCUAACUCCGUG